rnacentral:rRNA from 1 species
UACGAAGGGGGCUAGCGUUGCUCGGAAUCACUGGGCGUAAAGCGCACGUAGGCGGCUUGUUAAGUCGGGGGUGAAAUCCUGGAGCUCAACUCCAGAACUGCCCUCGAUACUGAUGAGCUCGAGUCCGGGAGAGGUGAGUUGAACUGCGAGUGUAGAGGUGAAAUUCGUAGAUAUUCGCAAGAACACCAGUGGCGAAGGCGGCUCACUGGCCCGGUACUGACGCUGAGGUGCGAAAGCGUGGGGAGCAAACAGG